AAAAUAUUUCAUCUGUAAGAUUCUUGUUGCAAAAUAGUAUUAGGAAUUAUUCUGCAUUGGAAACCAUAAUUUAAGUGUGCGAGUAUGGGCCAUAUGAGGCUACCCAUAAAAAUGCUGGUUUGUAUUUAUUAGAAUUGUUUAAUGUUUUUUUUUUUGUUUUUCAUACUUUUUUAUUAACUUUUUAAAUCUCAAGUUGACCAACCUAAUUAUAAAUUUGUUGGCCAUUUCUAUAAUAUAUUGUCGUGAAAGUUGUACUUGCAUGUACUUGAAUUUGGAAAAAUUCUUAAUAAUACAAAAAACUUGACAUAAUGAGAUACUAAUUUAGAAAUGAGUGUUUCACGUGAAAAGAUUAAUGAACGUUUAUCUAACCGGCACUUUUGUCCCCGAGGGGACACCAAGCAGGUGCGAUCUCCUGUGUGUGAACAGUGAGAUCUCGAGUUCAAAUUCCAUUACUCUCCUUCCCCAACUCCCUCAAGUAAAAAAAAAAAAAAAAACAAAUCUAACCGGC
rnacentral:lncRNA from 1 species